CCAGGUUGGUCAGUCAGCUUCGGGCGCUGGAAGAGAGCAGGUACCACUACACAUUCUCUGCGUCCCUGUCAUGAGGGGUCAAGCGACUGUCAUGUCUUCGUGAGAAAACCGCCGGGUUGGAUACGAGUUCUGCUGGCUUCGAGAAGGAACUUGGGUUGUUAUUUAUGUUUCUUGGCGAGAGAACUGGAUUGUUUAAGCGAAAUCUAAUAUAAGAAUGACAGAAAAAGAGAAAAGAAAACGGACAAUAAAGUGAUAAAAGGCCAACUGUAUCCAUAUGAACAUAAACCAGAAUUACAAAACGAGAAAA